CCUGGCUCACGACGAACGCUGGCGGCGCGCCUAACACAUGCAAGUCGAACGGAAGUGUUCAAUCGGAAGUUUUCGGACGGAAGAAUGCACGGUUUAGUGGCGAACGGGUGAGUAACGCGUGAGUAACCUGCCCUUCAGAGGGGGACAACAGUUGGAAACGACUGCUAAUACCGCAUAAGCCCACGGUGUCACAUGGCACAGUGAGAAAAGGAGAAAUCCGCUGAAAGAUGGACUCGCGUCUGAUUAGAUAGUUGGUGGGGUAACGGCCUACCAAGUCGACGAUCAGUAGCCGGACUGAGAGGUUGAACGGCCACAUUGGGACUGAGAGACGGCCCAGACUCCUACGGGAGGCAGCAGUGGGGAAUAUUGCACAAUGGGGGGAACCCUGAUGCAGCGACGCCGCGUGAGGGAAGAAGGUAUUCGUAUUGUAAACUUCUGUCGCAAUGACGAAGAUAGUGACGGUAAUCUGCUCGACAGCACCGGCUAACUACGUGCCAGCAGCCGCGGUAAAACGUAGGGUGCUAGCGUUGUCCGGAAUUACUGGGUGUAAAGGGAGCGCAGGUGGCAGUGCAAGUUGCAUGUAACAUCUACGGCCUCAACCCGUAUAAGCAUUCAAAACUGUGCAGCUUGAGUGAAGUAGAGGUACGUGCAAUUUCCGGUGUAGCGGUGGAAUGCGUAGAUAUCGGAAGGAACAUCAGUGGCGAAGGCGACCUACUGGGCUUUAACUGACGCUGAGGCUCGAAAGCAUGGGUAGCAAACAGGAUUAGAUACCCUGGUAGUCCAUGCUGUAAACGAUGAUUACUAGGUGUGGGGGCGAAAGCUUCCGUGCCGGAGUUAACACAAUAAGUAAUCCACCUGGGGAGUACGACCGCAAGGUUGAAACUCAAAGGAAUUGACGGGGGCCCGCACAAGCAGUGGAGUAUGUGGUUUAAUUCGAAGCAACGCGAAGAACCUUACCAGGUCUUGACAUCGUGCGCAUAGGCAAGAGAUUGCUGAAAUCACUCUUUGAGUGACGUAUAGACAGGUGGUGCAUGGUUGUCGUCAGCUCGUGUCGUGAGAUGUUGGGUUAAGUCCCGCAACGAGCGCAACCCUUAUCAUUAGUUACUACGAAAGAGGACUCUAAUGAGACUGCCGUUGAGAAAACGGAGGAAGGUGGGGAUGACGUCAAAUCAUCAUGCCCCUUAUGACCUGGGCUACACACGUACUACAAUGGCUGUCAACAAAGUGAACCAAAUACGCGAGUAAGAGGGAAACACAAAAAACAGUCACAGUUCGGAUUGUAGGCUGCAACUCGCCUACAUGAAGCCGGAAUUGCUAGUAAUCGCGGAUCAGCAUGCCGCGGUGAAUACGUUCCCGGGCCUUGUACACACCGCCCG
rnacentral:rRNA from 1 species